ACUACUGUCUACUUCUUUCUACUAGUUUGAAUAUUUCCUUAUAAAAUAAUUAUAUAAGGAAUAUUUUUCUGUUUUCGUAAACCAGUGUUGUUAAUGAAUUGCAGUUUACAAAACUAUAAUAUAUCAAGUAACAUUCAUCAUGUUCACGAAAAACCAAGAUUGAAAAAUAAAAAGAGCUGAUACUGCAGAUGGGUGCGCCACUCUUAUAGGUGGGAAGUUGGGAAGGUAGGAUACAUAAAGUUAUUUAAUUUAUCAACCGUG